UACGGAGGGGGCUAGCGUUGUUCGGAAUUACUGGGCGUAAAGCGCACGUAGGCGGACUGUUAAGUCAGGGGUGAAAUCCCAGGGCUCAACCCUGGAACUGCCUUUAAUACUGGCAAUCUAGAGUCCGAGAGAGGUGAGUGGAAUUCCGAGUGUAGAGGUGAAAUUCGUAGAUAUUCGGAGGAACACCAGUGGCGAAGGCAGCUCACUGGCUCGGUACUGACGCUGAGGUGCGAAAGCGUGGGGAGCAAACAGG
rnacentral:rRNA from 1 species